rnacentral:rRNA from 1 species
CUACGUAGGGGGCGAGCGUUGUCCGGAAUGAUUGGGCGUAAAGGGCGCGUAGGCGGCCCGGUAAGUCUGGAGUGAAAGUCCUGUUUUUAAGAUGGGAAUUGCUUUGGAUACUGUCGGGCUUGAGUUCAGGAGAGGUAAGUGGAAUUCCCAGUGUAGCGGUGACAUGCGUAGAGAUUGGGAGGAACACCAGUGGCGAAGGCGACUUACUGGACUGUAACUGACGCUGAGGCGCGAAAGUGUGGGGAGCAAACAGGAUUAGAUACCCUGGUAGUCCACACUGUAAACGAUGAAUGCUAGGUGUAGGGGGUAUCGACCCCUUCUGUGCCGCAGUCAACACAAUAAGCAUUCCGCCUGGGGAGUACGGCCGCAAGGUUGAAACUCAAAUGAAUUGACGGGG